GCUAGAUGUGAGCACUCAGCGCUGUGUGAAGCUAGGUGUGAGCACUCAGCACUGUGUGAAGCUAGGUGUGAGCACUCAGCACUGUGUGAAGCUAGGAGUGAGCACUCAGUGCUGUGUGAAGCUAGGUGUGUGCACUCAGCACUGUGUGAAGCUAGGUGUGAGCACUCAGCACUGUGUGAAGCUAGGUGUGAGCACUCAGCACUGUGUGAAGCUAGGAGUGAGCACUCAGCACUGUGUGAAGCUAGGAGUGAGCACUCAGCACUGUGUGAAGCUAGGUGUGUGCACUCAGCACUGUGUGAAGCUAGCUGUGAGCCCUUAGCACUGUGUGAAGCUAGGUGCGAGCAUUAAGCACUGUGUAACGCUGGGUGUGAGCACUCAGCACUGUGUGAAGUUAGGAGUGAGCACUCAGCACUGUGUGAAACUAGGAGUGAGCACUCAGCACUGUGUGAAACUAGGAGUGAGCACUCAGCACUGUGUGAAGCUCGGAGUGAGCACUCAG